rnacentral:snoRNA from 1 species
UGCAGCCCUGUCAAAUUCGGUCCCUGCCUCCUCUGUGGUGGGGACCGGCCAACCGGCUGCCACAGCAAUUUCUGUGGUCUGUCAGCCCCACGCCCCCUUCCCAUGGGAUACUGGGGGAUAAAAUCACGCCACAGACAUGU